AAAAAUUACUGGUUUAUGUAAAAAAAAAUUUCAUUAAUGCUUAAAGAUUUCUCAAUAGAAGGCCAGAAGAGAUCAUGACGGAUAACUGCGUUUUAUUGCGUAAUCACUUACAAAACAGCAAAUGAUAUAACUUGUUUUCAAACAAAACAAAGCGUUUCUAUAUGCAAAACAAAAUCUCUAAAACUUAAUUGAGGAUAUAAUUGAGGAUAAAAAAGAUCACGCUAAUUGUAAACUGACGCUUUGUUUAAUAGAAUUAGUUGCUUAUAUAAACAAACAAACUAAAAUCUCUAACUUACCCUUUAUAUUAAUAAUGAUAAUGAGGAGUAAGUUAGUCACACUAUUAAAAAUGAGUGCAUAUUUUGUUGACGAUUUGACGAAUAAAUAUUUUGCAACAACUGAAAUAGAGAUGCGCACGGACUUUCGUACUAAAGUCCGUGCAUCUGUACUAAUGCAAUACAUAAAUUUCUUGAUGAGUUUAAAUGUGAAAUGAAAGAGAUCAUGGCAAUAACAAAA